rnacentral:rRNA from 1 species
CUUUGUGGCCAUACUGGCUUGUCAAACCUGACUCCAUCUGAUCUCAGAAGUAAAGCAGGGCUGGGCCUGGUCAGGACUUAGAUGGGAGACCACUAGGAAUACCAGGAACCACAGGGG